rnacentral:misc_RNA from 1 species
UCAAACUUGGUCAUUUAGAGGAAGUAAAAGUCGUAACAAGGUUUCCGUAGGUGAACCUGCGGAAGGAUCAUUACGAAAAAGCGAGCAAUCGCUUUUCUACCUGCUCGGCGGCCCUUCUGGGUCAUUGACUGGUCAACCCUUUGUGAACCAAGAAACACUUUCGCUUCGGCAGCUGGGCCCUAACCGGGUCCGUCAGCCUGCCGCUAGCACCCCUUCAUAAACCUGUUUGUCAAAACAUUGUCUGAUAACCAAAUUUUCGAAUGAAAAUUAAAACUUUCAACAACGGAUCUCUUGGUUCCCGCAUCGAUGAAGAACGCAGC